UACAGAGGGUGCGAGCGUUGUCCGGAAUUAUUGGGCGUAAAGGGCUCGUAGGCGGUCUGUUGCGUCGGGAGUGAAAACUUACAGCUUAACUGUGAGCGUGCUUUCGAUACGGGCAGACUUGAGGCAUUCAGGGGAGAACGGAAUUCCUGGUGUAGCGGUGAAAUGCGCAGAUAUCAGGAGGAACACCGGUGGCGAAGGCGGAUCUCUGGGCCUUACCUGACGCUCAGGCGCGAAAGCUAGGGGAGCGAACUGG
rnacentral:rRNA from 1 species